UGUGUAGGCGGUUGUCUAAGUUUGGUGUGAAAUCUCCCGGCUCAACUGGGAGGGUGCGCCGAAUACUGAAUGACUUCGAGUACGGGAGAGGAAAGUGGAAUUCCUGGUGUAGCGGUGAAAUGCGUAGAUAUCAGGAGGAACACCGGUGGUGUAGACGGCUUUCUGGACCGUAACUGACGCUGAGACACGAAAGCGUGGGUAGCAAACAGGAUUAGAUACCCUGGUAGUCCACGCCCUAAACGAUGCAUAUUUGGUGUGGGCAGUUCAUUCUGUCUGUGCCGGAGCUAACGCGUUAAAUAUGCCGCCUGGGGAGUACAGUCGCAAGGCUGAA
rnacentral:rRNA from 1 species